GACGAACGCUGGCGGCGUGCCUAAUACAUGCAAGUAGAACGCUGAAGGAGGAGCUUGCUUCUCCGGAUGAGUUGCGAACGGGUGAGUAACGCGUAGGUAACCUGCCUGGUAGCGGGGGAUAACUAUUGGAAACGAUAGCUAAUACCGCAUAACAGUAGAUAUUGCAUGAUAUCUGCUUGAAAGGUGCAAUUGCAUCACUACCAGAUGGACCUGCGUUGUAUUAGCUAGUUGGUGAGGUAACGGCUCACCAAGGCGACGAUACAUAGCCGACCUGAGAGGGUGAUCGGCCACACUGGGACUGAGACACGGCCCAGACUCCUACGGGAGGCAGCAGUAGGGAAUCGUCGGCAAUGGACGGAAGUCUGACCGAGCAACGCCGCGGGAGUGAAGAAGGUUUUCGGAUCGUAAAGCUCUGUUGUAAGAGAAGAACGAGUGUGAGAGUGGAAAGUUCACACUGUGACGGUAUCUUACCAGAAAGGGACGGCUAACUACGUG
rnacentral:rRNA from 1 species